GCCAAGUAUAGUGGUGUGUGCCUGUAGUCCCAGCUACUUGGGAGGUUGAGGUGGGAGAAUUACUUGAGCCCAGGAGGUUGAGGCUGCAGUGAGCUGUUUUCAUACCACUGCACUCUAGCCUGGGCAACAGAGUGAGAUCCUGUCUCAA
rnacentral:sRNA from 1 species